GCUGUGAAUGUGCAAAGCCCUGCAAAGUUACAUUUCUGCUUCUGGCUACCCAUUUCCACUUAUCUUGAGCAGAAAAAGAAGAGAAAACUGAUUGAGGCUGCCCAGAACACCCCGACCCAGUUUUAUCCCAAGAUUCUCCUUUAGGAACAAUGCAUCUGCCAUAUCACAGAAGGCUUAUUACAUCUCCUCUAUCCAAGCAAUAUAAUCCAAUUAAGCAAAUGCAUUUUCCUGGACAGUCCCACGUGGAAUGGCUUCAAGAUUGUUCAACGUAAUAUCCUGCUAACAUAGUCCAGAACUAUCCUUGGUUCUGUUGUUGCUAUUUUACUAACCAAAACAAACAAAAAAAAACCAGUGAGAAAGUCAUGGGAAUUGCAAGUC